UUCCAGUUGCUCAGCUUAACGAGGUAACCAAAUUCAAAUCACUUGAUUUCUGUGCAAUUCACAUUCUUCUAAAUUGUAACCUUUGUUAUCGAACCCUAACUACUUCAUCAGGUAAGCCAAUUUUAAAUCACAAACUUAAUUAUAACUAAAGUUAAACACUGAAUACUUAAAAUUGCGAUUCACAACAUUGUCAGUUUAAACAUAACAACCAUAGAGUAAUAAAUGAAGGAUUCACUUGAACAAUCUUUACAAAAAAUGGUCAAGGAAAAGCAAGAAGCUGAUGAACGAGUGAAGGCAGCUGAAGAUGAAGCCAGGAUCGCUCUUGAACGAGUAGCCAGUGCUGAAGAUGCAGCUAAAUCUUUGAGGGGUCGGUUAGAAGCCAUGGAAAGGAAAUUGGCUGAAGCAAAGGGAGACGCAGCUUAAGACGAUUGAAGAGAUUGAAAGCAAGACUAGUCGACUUGAAAUCAUUCAAUCCCAAACUGUUAACCUAAACUCAGCUAUCAAAAUGCUUGAAGAAAAAUCAGAGAGUCUGAAGAAAGCUCAAAAAGAGUUAAUGGCUUUGGGAGAGAAAAUGGAUGUUAAUGAAGCAGAAAAAGAAAAGAAAUUUGCUGAAUUAGAAGCUGAAAUCACUCGAACUCGUGAGCUGAGCAUCAAACGAGAACAAGAAAUGGCCUCCAAAUUGGAAUUGUUGAAUCAAAAAUCGGAAAAAUUGAGACAAUUGAAUGCUAAACAGACUAAAAAUGAAUAACUUUUAUGUUUAUAGUUUUAAUAAAAGCAACUCAAUGUGUAAUUAAACUGAUUUAGCAAAUGA